AUACAUAUUUUUCCCUAUACGAGCUCUCGAGGCCCUAAAAACACGUUAAAAGCAAGUCAGGACUAAAUCGAAAACCCAAAGAAUUUUUCAAGAAAUAAGGAAAAUUUUCAAAACUAGGGGGUCAUACGGCCGUGUGGGUAUUCGAAAUAGGGACACAUGGUCGUAUGUUCUUAUACCAUGAUUGAUUAGUUCGAAUAUGCAUGAUUUUGGUGCAUUAUUAUAGCUUGUAUAUAUGUGAAAUUUUGGUUGUAGGUGCAUGCCAAAAUGAGUGAGAAAAAUGGCUUGUAAAAUGGCCUAUUUUCGUCCACACAGGCAGAGAGACGGGCGUGUGUCUCAGCCGUGUGUGACACACAUGGCCAAAAUAUUCAACUAACUUCUAAACAUAUUUGCAUUAUACAUAUCAUUGAGUUUACUUAUCGUUUACUAGCAUUAACAUUAUAUAUGUCAUUCUCAACAAAGUACCAUUUCACCAUAUUUCCAAACAUACCAAACACUAAACAAAAAUUAAGCAUUAUAAGAACUUAUAACUAAGCUAAUUCACAUAGCAUACUUGAAGUAUUCAAUCAUCAUCAUUUGACACCACAAGAUUUAUACAACUUCUAUUUAUAUAUAUGUUCCAAAAGGUUUACCUAAUUAAGCACACAAGUUUAACUAUUUUUACUAGAAACAAGCAUAAUAAGUUACUUAAAACAUUUACAUCCAUACAAAAUAUUCAAUUAUUAUAAACCUUUUCCUAAUUCAUGCCACUUAAACCAACUAGUAAGAACCAAAAUGAUUACCAAGAUGUUGAUGAUAGUGUGCGAGCUUCUGAGCCGAUUCAAUCAAAGCAACAAUUCAAAAGGUCCUACAAGAAUAAAUCAAACUAUUAGCAUCAAAAAGCUUAGUAAGUUCGAUAUUAGUUUCAUUUAUAAUUAACUGAAAACUACUAAAUUAAUGCAAUUUUCAAUACACCAGCACAUAGCCUGCUAGGCACAUAGCCUGAAUAAUCACCGACACAAAGCCUUCUAGGCACAUAGCCCGAAUAAUCAUCGGCACAAAGCCUACUAGGCACAUAGCCCGAAUAAUCACCAUAUUUCUAUUUCAGUAAGCAUAACUCAGUAAAAUCCAUAAUUCAACAAAUAAAGAAUAGUAUGAAAUAUUCAAUAGAUUAAUAGUAACCAUGUAACAAACUUACCUGGACUGAAUCGUAGAAAUUACAGAAGUUCAGGGACUACUAUAUUAUUUUUCCUUUUCCUCGAAUAUAUACGAAUUCUUGAUCUAUAAGGUAAAACUUCUCAAUUAUUAACAUAUAAUUCAUUUAAAAUCUCUUUUACAAUUAAUACCAUUUUAUUUUUGAAUUUACAUAAUUACCUCAAACUUUUACAUUUUUUGCAAUUCAGUCCCUUAACUCAAAAUUCAUCAAAUUAACUAAUUUUCUCAAAUAAAUAAAUUAUCCAUACAUUAUAGACCCUCAAACAUCCCCUAACAAACAUAAAAUUAACUAUCCAACCCUAAUAUUUUGACAUAUUCACAAUUUAAUCCUAAAAUUAAUAUUUAACAAAAAUCUCUUCACAAAUUCAUUCAAUAGCAUAAUAAUUGCUCCACAUACCUAAUAUUCAUAAAAAAUUCAAUAUUCAUCAAUGGACACUUCCAAAAUUUUUAAAAGAAUCAAAAACGAAGGUACGGGCUAGCUGGGCCUAGUUGCAACGACCUCAAAAACAUAAAAAUUGUAAGAAACAAAUAAAAAUUGAACUCACAUGCAAUAAAAAUGAAGAAACCGAACUUAGAGCUCCCUCCUAUGGUGGUUUUGGCCAAUUUUGAAGAAGAAUGAAUAGAAAACUUUAAAAUUUCAAUUUGUUUUGUUUUAAUUUCAAGUAAUUUACACUUUUACCAUUAUAAUUACCUUAUUUUAUUAUUUUGCAUUAACAUGCCGUCCCACUAUAUUAAUUUAGGCAUAACUAUUACCUAAGUCCUUCCUCCAAUAUUAAUUAAACCAUUUCAUCACCUAUUUGCUUUAAUUUGCAAAUUUUUCACCUUUUUCAAUUUAGCCCUUUUUCUUUAAUUAACUAUCUAAUCGUUAAUAUUUCUAAACUAAAUUUUAAUACGACUCUAAUGACUUUAUAAGUAUUCUAAAAAUAAUAUUUAUGAGUCAACACGACAAAAUUUGUGGUCUAAACCACUGUUCCGUCACCACUAAAAAUCGAGUUGUUACACAAAGCUUGAACUCUUAUCUAUAUAAUGCCAAAAAAUAAUAAUUUUAUCAUUCCAACUUUGGCUUGGUUGUUAUCGCCUUUGUCUUAGUCCAAACCACACUAAUACCGCUAAAAAAUUAUUACUUGUUUGAUGUGAAAUUUUAUCUUCUUGAAAAAAGAUGAGAUUUUUUAAAAAAAUUUAACGAAAAUUGAUUAUUUUGAUAACCAAAAUGAUAAAGAAUUCAAAAUUUGGAAUUCUUAAAAACAACAAAAGUGUCGGAAGCAAUGUCAAUAAGACUAAUGGGUCCGAAUUGAUAUUAGAGUACAAAAACAAGUAGUGCCAAAAGCAAUGCUAAGUCCAAUUUGUAACUAUUUCAAGUACAAUAAAUGUAAAAUGGAAAAAAGUAAACAUGACAAGGGAUGUUUAUAUAAUUCAAUUUCCCUACAUCUGCGGGUCCUUGCCCUGAGAGAAUUCACUAUUUUAGUACCUCAUACCACAAGUGUAUUCAAACUCAAUAUUCAUUAUAUUAAUACCUCGUACAACAAGUGUAUCCAAGCUCUAACACUCACUAGUAUAGACUUUUUACUUUUGUACCUAAGAUCUAAACAUCUAUCCCUUUAAGUUUUACCCUUGAAAUUCUCAACCAAGCAGCACACUUAAUUAUUACAAAAGUAAUGCACUUUCUAAAUAAGUUCCUCACUGAAAAAAACUAGGUUCGCCAAACUCAAUACCAAACCUAUACAAGUUCACUUACUUAGUAUAGGCUUACUAACAUAAUCUGUAGUGGCCCAUUUUUAGUGGUAUGAAAAAUGGCGGUUUCAGAAUCUCGUUUUUCGAUGAAAGAGUCAGUAAAAAUUAUUUAUUAAUAUUUACGGGUCUAUAUUAAUGUUCUAUUGAAUUUUGGAACGAUAAUUUUGUUGAUUGGAUGGUUAAUAGGGUAUAAAGACUAAAUUGUAAAAAUUACAAAAUUUAAUUAUUAUUGAUUUUAUUAGUUAAAAAGGCUUAAAAGGUAAUUAUUAAGGUUUUAUGUGACAAUUUACCACUUUUUAUAUUAGUGGACUGUAAGGCUUAGUAUUUAAAUUGUUUUUAUGUUAAAAUUUUAGUUAAAAAAUGGUUAAAUAUAAAUUUGGUACCCAAACUUGUUUACUUCUCCCAGAUCGGUACUUAUAGCUUUCUUUUGUCCUAGAUUGGUACUCAAACAUUUUUUCCGUCCACUAUAUUGGUACUUGAGACUAACGGCGUUAAAUUCAGGACAAGUGACGGAAUAAGAUCGUGACACGUGGAAUAAAUGACAUCAUGAUAAUGUCAUAAUAAAAAUAUUAAAAAUAAAUAAAAAUAUUUUUAAGACUAUUUCUUUUUUUUCUUUCUUUUUCCAAAUGAGGUUUCUUCUUCCUAAUCUCCUUUUUUUUUCUUUUUCCUGGUCACCUUUUUUCUUCCCAAUUCCAUUUUCUCAUUCUUUUCUAUACUGCUGCUACUUCUUUGCUCGAUGUAGAAGGUAUUGAGUUUGACUCUUGGGCAUAGAGGAAGUGGAUUCAAAUUCAAGCUACAAAGAUCUGGAUUACCCAAUAAACCUGAAAUGAAGAGCUCAUUAUUGAAACCCGGCAACUAAUAAAAUUUCUAGGUAGUUGGAUUUUUUUCUGUUGGGUUUUUUUUUUUUUUGUUUAAUUUGCUUUCUUUUUAGCUCAUAGGUUUUGGGUUAUCUCUAUUUUUUACUUAAAAUCUUGAUUCAUCUUCAUUUUUGGAUUUUCUCAUUCAAUUUUGUUCCUCUUUUUUUAGUUUCUAAGUAGUUAAAGUUUUUUCUGUUUGUUUCUUGAGAAAAUAUGAGAAAGAACAAAAUACAUUUUUUUUUGCACAUCAAUGGCUACAUAAGAGACCCAAGUUUCUUUUUUUUAACCUGUAAAACACUAAAUAUAGAUUCUCUCACUUUAGAAUUGUAGGUAUACACUAGCAAACCAUGAAAAAAACCCACUACUUUAUUUAUGUUGCAGAUCUAAGAUAUGCAUAAUUGUACAUCCCAUAAAAAACCAGAAUUGUGUAAUCCAGCACUAUUAUGUAAUUUGUGAAAAAUAGAUAGUCGGCAAUGGCAACAAAUUGCAAAAGAAACAGAAAGAAAAAUAAAGAACACACAGAUUUUUACGUGGAAACCCUUGCGGGAAAAAACUACAGGUAGAGGAGAAGAUAAUUCACUAUGUCAAAUUUGAAUAAUUACAAGAUGAGUAGACUAUGUCUAUUUAUACAUGAGUAAAAUCAUAUUCUAAUAAAGUAAAAUAGAAGUAAUGCAGUAAGGUUAAAACACCUUAUUCAAAUCAAUAUUAAAUAGAGGAAAUAUAUUUUUAUUCAAACUUCUCUUGCACACUUGUAUUUUUCCAUUCGUAUUGUAUUUUAUCAUGAAUUUGGGUCACAUAUCUAACAUAAUUGAAUGCUAGAAUUUUUUUUCCUAAUACAACUCUUAAGGUUUUCUAUAUAUUAGUACGAUCAAUGUACUGUAACACUUCCAAUGAGUUUAAUUUCAAUAGUUCAUAUGUUUAAUUGCUUUUUUCUCUUAAUUUCUAAAAAACAAAUAAAUUAGAAAUUUUGAAAUAAAUUGAUUGUAAUUUUUUCUAACAUUAGUUCAGUAAUUUGAUAAAUUAACAAAAUUUUUCAACUUAGAAUUGAUUGGAUGGUGAGAAAGUGAGGGAAAAUUUUUUAAGUUCCUAACAAAAGAAAGAAAGAAAAAGAUAAAGCUAGAAAAAGAAAAAGAAAAAAAAUAAAAGGAAAUAAGGGGAAAAAACAAAAAAAAAGGUACAAUAGGAUGUCAAGUGGCGACGUGUGAUUUGCCAAUGUUGCCACAUCAGCAAUAAUUAACACUAUUAGUCUCAAGUACCAAUAUAAUGGAUAAAAAAAAUUAGGUAAGUAUCAAUCUAGGAGAAAUGAACAAGUUCGGGUACCAAUUUUAUAUUUAACGCUUAAAAAUUUAUGUUAAAUAAAAGUUAAAAAUAUAAUUAAAACAUAAAAAAGUUGUCAUCUUCUUUCUCAUUUUCACUCUAUCGUUUUUUCAAUCAAAUUUACCCUAAGGAAGCCAUUUUUAAGAGCUUGAGGUUCGAUCAUUGCAUAUCAAGAACAAAAUCAACUAAAACUUAGUCGAGGAAAAUGGAAUAUUGUAGACUAGUCCCUGACAUCACAAUUUGGCAUCGGAAGGGUUAAAAAUAGAGAAAAAUGCAUACCUCGUUUAUGGAACUGCUGGUCCAAAUAUCACUGAAGCAGAGGUCGAUCGGGGAUGGAGUUGAAGUCCAUAUCAAAACAAAACCAUUAAAGGGUUAUGUGGAAUAUGAUAAGAUAGUUAAUCGAUUUCAGUCUAUUGAUCUUCUCCAGA
rnacentral:lncRNA from 1 species